GAGUUUGAUCAUGGCUCAGAUUGAACGCUAGCGGCAUGCCUUACACAUGCAAGUCGAACGGCAGCACGAAGAGCUUGCUCUUUGGUGGCGAGUGGCGAACGGGUGAGUAAUGUAUCGGAACGUGCCCAGUAGCGGGGAAUAACUACGCGAAAGCGUCGCUAAUACCGCAUACGCCCUACGGGGGAAAGGGGGGGAUCUUAUGACCUCUCACUAUUGGAGCGGCCGAUAUCGGAUUAGCUAGUUGGUGAGGUAAAGGCUCACCAAGGCUGCGAUCCGUAGCUGGUUUGAGAGGACGACCAGCCACACUGGGACUGAGACACGGCCCAGACUCCUACGGGAGGCAGCAGUGGGGAAUUUUGGACAAUGGGGGCAACCCUGAUCCAGCCAUCCCGCGUGUGCGAUGAAGGCCUUCGGGUUGUAAAGCACUUUUGGCAGGAAAGAAACCGCGCGGGCUAAUAACCUGUGCUAAUGACGGUACCUGCAGAAUAAGCACCGGCUAACUACGUGCCAGCAGCCGCGGUAAUACGUAGGGUGCAAGCGUUAAUCGGAAUUACUGGGCGUAAAGCGUGCGCAGGCGGUUCG
rnacentral:rRNA from 1 species